ACCCUAGAACCUCUCUCCUCUCUCGGCCGCGUCCUCUCCUCUCUCUUUCCCGUCUUCCCUCUGCAAGCGCCGGAAGCCACCAUCUCCGACCACCACCUUGCAACACCGCCUCCACCCUUCAAACCCACAUCCAAAUCUGAUCAAAGCCCAACCAAAAUCCCCACCAUGCAUUGAUUCCAGCUUCCAUGCUCACCUCAAAACCGCGGCAGCACUGUUCUCCAGCUUUCUUCCAAUUUCCGGUAACUGCUCCGCCGUGUCGCCAUCACCCUCGACUCAGAACUCACCGAACACCCAGACCUUGAAUCCCCGUAGCACGCCGACGCCGGAGAACGUCGUACAUAUCUUCGCCGGAGUCUUAGCUUCUACUGAGAUCGAUUCCUCUUUUCUGGGUUAAAUCGAGCUACACGACCACCAUGGAUGGAGUCAGCACUUCAACCAAGGUCUAGAAUAGCCCUUAACCUGGACCUCCGAUUUCGACCAGAGCCACCCAGCACCGCCGUGAGAGCCACCGGCUUACCUCUCUCAUCUGGUAAGCUCUAUUUCGUCACCUGUUUUCUUGGUUGAGGCCUCUGCUUUGAAUUGGAUUGAGAAACCCUAACCCACUGUCACUUAAUUUCGAAAUGAGGUUCUUGGAUUUCUGCGAAUUGGAGUUUCGGAGAAGAUGAGCUACUGGGGUAGCUUUGGUUGAAACCAGAAAUGAUGGAGACUUGAGGUUUGAGGAAUCUGCGUUUUUGAAGAUUUUGGAGAAGAAUGAAUUGUUGGGUCAGUUUCGAUUUGAAUCAUAAAUGGUGUUAAAACGAUUGUGGUGGUGAAUUCCUGCAUCGACGAAUUGAUCUCCGAAUUGGGAAAGAAGAAUGGACUCGAGCGUGUGCACAUGAAAUUGGAAGAAGUAUCGAAAGUCAGAAACGAAGCUAAGUUCGGACGAGCACACCAUAUCCAGUGUGCAGGUUUCGAGCAUGUGGUCGAGGAGUGUACAGAGGAGGCACAUGGCUCGGCUUGGCGCAUUUCUCUUUGACGUUGUUAAAAGAGGGUUUUGGUCCCUUAUCGGAUUUUGAAGUACCUUAUUUAUUUACUUUUUAUUUAUUUAUUUGUUUUCUACUUGCUUAUUUACAAAAUUUUGGGAGACCCGUAACCCUGGGCCGCGUCUCUCAUACUUGUAUUUACUUAGUGAUUUGUUAUUUCCCAAAUUGGGCUCCUAUUGUAAGCCCAAAUCCUUUAGCCCACUUUAAAUUCCGCCUUUAAAAAUAUGUUG